UCACAAUUAUUGCAUUUCUCCACCCCAGACCAGAGCUGCGUUUCUGUUCUGUGACCUUAGUGUUCCUGGGUGCUUUUUAUAUUAAAUUACAGUUUUAGUUAGAGCUAGUCAAUUUCAAACAGUGACUACUAGUGUGUAAAAGUGCACUCAUGGUUGGUAAAGAGAUCACAGAGUGAAGUAAAACCCCCAGAAAUUCACACUUGAAUUUGGAAUUUGAAUUUGGAGCUUCUUCCAGUAGGACUGAACCCCCCAGGACUGAUCUGCUGCUUGGAACAGUAUCUAACCCACAGAAUUAAAAUGAUCAAGAAAGCCCAGCAUGAUCCUCUGACCACACAUGUGUAGUCAUUCAAGGCCAAAGAUUCUCAGGAGAACUUAGUUGUACUUUAAGCUCAUCUGCAUUUUGAACAACAUUGCACCCACCUCCACCCAUCUCCUCAAUCACCUCCUUCAAUGAUUUCCAGUUAUCAAUGGUGGGGCUCGACUUCACUUUCUGUCUGAAGCAGCUCUGAACUCUUCUUUCCAUCCGUCCAUCCAUCUUCUUAUCAGCUCCCUUCAUCCUAGAGAGAAUCCUGGUGGAUCCAGAGCACACCUGGGUUACACCAA